UUAGAAUGGUGGGAGACACAGUUAUAACUGGUAGUGAUAAUUUUGGACUGCAAGAAUGUGGUCUAUUUCCUGAGGAACAUGUGAUGGUGUUCUAGCAUGCCAUGCUGGCUCAAUAUUAAGCGUUGAAUAUUCCACACUUGACGAAGGAAUAAUUACAGGUUCAACUGAAGGGCUACUCCGCUUUUGGGAAAAUGUGGAGGGUAAGAGCAUUUUAUCUCGACUCUAGAAUUUUCAUUUUUCAUUCUUUCAUGUUCAACUGGUACUGGUGACUAUUAAAAUAGUCAAGGGAAUACAAGAUAAUGUUGGUUGGUUUCUUUCUACAAGAUUUUGUGUAAUUAAUCAAAUAAUUAUGUCACAAUUC